rnacentral:tRNA from 1 species
GGUGAGUUGGCCGAGCGGUUAGGCACAGCUCUGCAAAAGCUGCUAGAACGGUUCGACUCCGUUACUCACCUCCA